rnacentral:RNase_P_RNA from 1 species
GCAGCAGGCUGUUCCAUCGCCAUGCCAACAGCGUGGAGGAAAGUCCGGGCAACACAGAGCACCAUACUUCUUAACGGGAAGAUAUCUGCAAGGGUAUAGUAGUGUAACAGAAAAUAACCGUCAUGCUUAUGGCGUGAUAAGGGUGAAAAGGUGAGGUAAGAGCUUACCGGUCCUGGUGGCAACAUCCGGAGUCGUACACCUUAUGAGUUGAAAGACCAUGUAUACCGGCGAGUAGGGCUGCUCGUCCGAUGCCGGGGGGUGGGUCGUAGGAGCACGGUAGCGAUACCGGGCCUAGAUAAAUGAUGGAAACCGGUUUUAAUUUCUUUCGCAGAAACCAAAACCGUACAGAAUCCGGCUUACAGGCCAGCUGCUUAA